rnacentral:rRNA from 1 species
UUAAGCGACUAAGCGUACACGGUGGAUGCCCUGGCAGUCAGAGGCGAUGAAGGACGUGCUAAUCUGCGAUAAGCGUCGGUAAGGUGAUAUGAACCGUUAUAACCGGCGAUUUCCGAAUGGGGAAACCCAGUGUGUUUCGACACACUAUCAUUAACUGAAUCCAUAGGUUAAUGAGGCGAACCGGGGGAACUGAAACAUCUAAGUACCCCGAGGAAAAGAAAUCAACCGAGAUUCCCCCAGUAGCGGCGAGCGAACGGGGAGCAGCCCAGAGCCUGAAUCAGUAUGUGUGUUAGUGGAAGCGUCUGGAAAGGCGCGCGAUACAGGGUGACAGCCCCGUACACAAAAAUGCACAUGCUGUGAGCUCGAUGAGUAGGGCGGGACACGUGGUAUCCUGUCUGAAUAUGGGGGGACCAUCCUCCAAGGCUAAAUACUCCUGACUGACCGAUAGUGAACCAGUACCGUGAGGGAAAGGCGAAAAGAACCCCGGCGAGGGGAGUGAAAAAGAACCUGAAACCGUGUACGUACAAGCAGUGGGAGCACGCUUAGGCGUGUGACUGCGUACCUUUUGUAUAAUGGGUCAGCGACUUAUAUUCUGUAGCAAGGUUAACCGAAUAGGGGAGCCGAAGGGAAACCGAGUCUUAACUGGGCGUUAAGUUGCAGGGUAUAGACCCGAAACCCGGUGAUCUAGCCAUGGGCAGGUUGAAGGUUGGGUAACACUAACUGGAGGACCGAACCGACUAAUGUUGAAAAAUUAGCGGAUGACUUGUGGCUGGGGGUGAAAGGCCAAUCAAACCGGGAGAUAGCUGGUUCUCCCCGAAAGCUAUUUAGGUAGCGCCUCGUGAAUUCAUCUCCGGGGGUAGAGCACUGUUUCGGCAAGGGGGUCAUCCCGACUUACCAACCCGAUGCAAACUGCGAAUACCGGAGAAUGUUAUCACGGGAGACACACGGCGGGUGCUAACGUCCGUCGUGAAGAGGGAAACAACCCAGACCGCCAGCUAAGGUCCCAAAGUCAUGGUUAAGUGGGAAACGAUGUGGGAAGGCCCAGACAGCCAGGAUGUUGGCUUAGAAGCAGCCAUCAUUUAAAGAAAGCGUAAUAGCUCACUGGUCGAGUCGGCCUGCGCGGAAGAUGUAACGGGGCUAAACCAUGCACCGAAGCUGCGGCAGCGACACUAUGUGUUGUUGGGUAGGGGAGCGUUCUGUAAGCCUGUGAAGGUGUACUGUGAGGUAUGCUGGAGGUAUCAGAAGUGCGAAUGCUGACAUAAGUAACGAUAAAGCGGGUGAAAAGCCCGCUCGCCGGAAGACCAAGGGUUCCUGUCCAACGUUAAUCGGGGCAGGGUGAGUCGACCCCUAAGGCGAGGCCGAAAGGCGUAGUCGAUGGGAAACAGGUUAAUAUUCCUGUACUUGGUGUUACUGCGAAGGGGGGACGGAGAAGGCUAUGUUGGCCGGGCGACGGUUGUCCCGGUUUAAGCGUGUAGGCUGGUUUUCCAGGCAAAUCCGGAAAAUCAAGGCUGAGGCGUGAUGACGAGGCACUACGGUGCUGAAGCAACAAAUGCCCUGCUUCCAGGAAAAGCCUCUAAGCAUCAGGUAACAUCAAAUCGUACCCCAAACCGACACAGGUGGUCAGGUAGAGAAUACCAAGGCGCUUGAGAGAACUCGGGUGAAGGAACUAGGCAAAAUGGUGCCGUAACUUCGGGAGAAGGCACGCUGAUAUGUAGGUGAAGUCCCUCGCGGAUGGAGCUGAAAUCAGUCGAAGAUACCAGCUGGCUGCAACUGUUUAUUAAAAACACAGCACUGUGCAAACACGAAAGUGGACGUAUACGGUGUGACGCCUGCCCGGUGCCGGAAGGUUAAUUGAUGGGGUCAGCGCAAGCGAAGCUCUUGAUCGAAGCCCCGGUAAACGGCGGCCGUAACUAUAACGGUCCUAAGGUAGCGAAAUUCCUUGUCGGGUAAGUUCCGACCUGCACGAAUGGCGUAAUGAUGGCCAGGCUGUCUCCACCCGAGACUCAGUGAAAUUGAACUCGCUGUGAAGAUGCAGUGUACCCGCGGCAAGACGGAAAGACCCCGUGAACCUUUACUAUAGCUUGACACUGAACAUUGAGCCUUGAUGUGUAGGAUAGGUGGGAGGCUUGGAAGUGUGGACGCCAGUCUGCAUGGAGCCGACCUUGAAAUACCACCCUUUAAUGUUUGAUGUUCUAACGUUGACCCGUAAUCCGGGUUGCGGACAGUGUCUGGUGGGUAGUUUGACUGGGGCGGUCUCCUCCUAAAGAGUAACGGAGGAGCACGAAGGUUGGCUAAUCCUGGUCGGACAUCAGGAGGUUAGUGCAAUGGCAUAAGCCAGCUUGACUGCGAGCGUGACGGCGCGAGCAGGUGCGAAAGCAGGUCAUAGUGAUCCGGUGGUUCUGAAUGGAAGGGCCAUCGCUCAACGGAUAAAAGGUACUCCGGGGAUAACAGGCUGAUACCGCCCAAGAGUUCAUAUCGACGGCGGUGUUUGGCACCUCGAUGUCGGCUCAUCACAUCCUGGGGCUGAAGUAGGUCCCAAGGGUAUGGCUGUUCGCCAUUUAAAGUGGUACGCGAGCUGGGUUUAGAACGUCGUGAGACAGUUCGGUCCCUAUCUGCCGUGGGCGCUGGAGAACUGAGGGGGGCUGCUCCUAGUACGAGAGGACCGGAGUGGACGCAUCACUGGUGUUCGGGUUGUCAUGCCAAUGGCACUGCCCGGUAGCUAAAUGCGGAAGAGAUAAGUGCUGAAAGCAUCUAAGCACGAAACUUGCCCCGAGAUGAGUUCUCCCUGACUCCUUGAGAGUCCUGAAGGAACGUUGAAGACGACGACGUUGAUAGGCCGGGUGUGUAAGCGCAGCGAUGCGUUGAGCUAACCGGUACUAAUGAACCGUGAGGCUUAACCUU